rnacentral:rRNA from 2 species
UUAAUUUGAGAGUUUGAUCCUGGCUCAGGACGAACGCUGGCGGCGUGCCUAAUACAUGCAAGUCGAACGAGCUCUGGUAUUGAUUGGUGCUUGCAUCAUGAUUUACAUUUGAGUGAGUGGCGAACUGGUGAGUAACACGUGGGAAACCUGCCCAGAAGCGGGGGAUAACACCUGGAAACAGAUGCUAAUACCGCAUAACAACUUGGACCGCAUGGUCCGAGCUUGAAAGAUGGCUUCGGCUAUCACUUUUGGAUGGUCCCGCGGCGUAUUAGCUAGAUGGUGGGGUAACGGCUCACCAUGGCAAUGAUACGUAGCCGACCUGAGAGGGUAAUCGGCCACAUUGGGACUGAGACACGGCCCAAACUCCUACGGGAGGCAGCAGUAGGGAAUCUUCCACAAUGGACGAAAGUCUGAUGGAGCAACGCCGCGUGAGUGAAGAAGGGUUUCGGCUCGUAAAACUCUGUUGUUAAAGAAGAACAUAUCUGAGAGUAACUGUUCAGGUAUUGACGGUAUUUAACCAGAAAGCCACGGCUAACUACGUGCCAGCAGCCGCGGUAAUACGUAGGUGGCAAGCGUUGUCCGGAUUUAUUGGGCGUAAAGCGAGCGCAGGCGGUUUUUUAAGUCUGAUGUGAAAGCCUUCGGCUCAACCGAAGAAGUGCAUCGGAAACUGG